GAUUCAAGGGAUUUGUUCCCUCUUUGAUGCUCAGGAAGACCUUGGAGCUUCGAAGGCCUUGACAGGGGAUGAAACCGCUCCUGUUCUAUGCGGACUUUGCUAUAUGGAUCUGGUUGGAGAAAAAGGACAGAUGCACGGGGCAAGGCUAGGCAUCCCUGGGUACCAACUGACUUUGUCUGGGGCUCUGAUUGGAGACAUCUUCUCUCGGGGAUGCAGACCGAUGGAGACGUCACCGUCUGCCAGGUCACUGUUUGCUGUGGCAGGAGGAAGGGCGUGUGCCAAUUCAUGUGCUGACUAUCACGAAUGAAAAGUGUUGCCUGCCAUAUCAGUAAACAAAGGAUGCUGCAGCCAUCCAGCCAUCACAUUCCAGCUGCCCCCAGUGGUGAGUCUUGAGGGAACUCAGGAUGGAAAUAGGUUGCCACCAUAGAGCCCUCAGCUACUGCAGCCAGCCCCCAGUGGUGCACCUAGAGGGGACUCAGGAGGUGAAAAAACAGCAUACUUGCCCUAGAUAGCUAAGAUGCAGAUCAAAGGAAUGAAUUCAAUGAGUCCAGACUCUUGCAUCUUCCCGGACAUCAAAAAGCACAAAAUUCCUUAACUUGAGAUGUUUGGCUUCCUUUCAUUAACAGUAAUCCUUUGAUGUUCCAACUACCUGGCUUUUGUUGCAAAAACUCCUGUAUGUCCUGGCUCCUCCUGUACCUCUCCAGAGUGGUCCCCCUGAGCCAUCUGAGAGGCUGCCUCCUGGGUGUGAAGUCCUCAGAAAGUCUGCCAAAUAAAACAGAAUUCUCAACUUU